AAGACUAUACUUUCAGGGAUCAUUUCUAAAAUUUCUGACUUGAGGAAUGGUUCUAAAGUGUUUGGUCCAGCUGACCAUGAUGAUGAGUCGUGAUAUUCCUUUCUCUGAGCGUGAGGCUGACAGAGAGUAAUGAUUUACUCAUAUGCUCCUCUGUCAUUGAUAUCGUUCUUUGCUUCUUUAUGGAGUAUUGAAGAAGGGAAUAAAUGUUCAGAGUGGU